rnacentral:rRNA from 1 species
CCUACGGGUGGCAGCAGUAGGGAAUCUUUCACAAUGGGCGAAAGCCUGAUGGAGCAACGCCGCGUGCAGGAUGAAGGCCUUCGGGUUGUAAACUGCUUUUAUAAGCGAGAUAUAUGAUGCUAACUUAUGACUAAGGAUCGGCUAACUACGUGCAAGCAGCCGCGGUCAUACGUAGGAUCCGAGCAUUAUCCGGAGUGACUGGGUGUAAAGAGUUGCGUAUGUGGCAUAAUAAGUAGCUAGUGAAAUCUGGUGGCUCAACCAUUCAGACUAUUAGCUAAACUGUUAAGCUCGAGAGCGUUAGGGGGAAGUGGAAGUUCUAGUGUAGGAGGGAAAUCCGUAGAGAUUAGAAGGAACACCGAUAGCGUAGGCAGCUUACUGGGACGGUUCUGACACUAAGGCACGAAAGCGUAGGGAGCAAACGGGAUUAGAUACCCCAGUAGUC